GUGUAGGGAAGGGAUCAGGGAUGAUUGUUUUUUUUCUUACAAGGAAUGCUGAUAUGAAACUGGUUAAGUUAGGAGACCUGAGAAACUCAAAGCAUGGGAAAACAUAAAAACAAAGCCAUCAACAGUGCCCCAAAACUGGAAUCUGUCUUCACCAGAGGCUGAUAGGUGAUGCCAAACAGAAGAACAAACAUCCUCAGGGGCCUGUGGAUGAUUCUGCCAACACCUUUGGAAGAAAAAAAACCAGGAAGACUUAAUGCAAAAUGCAUGGUUGUGUAAUGGAGAAGCCAGAAUAAACGACCACCAGGGAAAUGGAAGACAAAAAAUGCUUGGUUUUCCUCUGUGCUUCACUAACAACAUGCACCUAGGAACCAGGAUGUGAGGAUUAAGCC